CAGCAUCUGCCCUCCGUCAGUGGCAGAAGCAUCCACAAUCAGGGGACAGGGGAGGUGAUUCCUGAAGAUGGGGACCCCAGGGGCAGGAACCAGGCCUCAUCUAGUUGUCUCCUCCCAUACUACCCAGAUGGGCACAUCGCAAACCUCGGACAGCGUUCACCGACUGACUGUGAUGGCAACAGCUGAGACGAAAUCAAGCCCGAGGCCCUUCACGACUGCACCCAUGACGCUGGCCCUGCCCGCUGGCCUUUGCCCUCCCACGCGGGAGCCUGAUGAAGCGAGACGCCUGGGCCAGGAGGACAAAGGCUGUCCGGGGAGGGCCAGAGGUCGGAGUUCGCUCCGUGGGGACACUCCCCUCCAACGCACACAUGGCACAGAAGAAUGGCAGUGAUGUUAAAAAAAAAAAAAAAAAAAAA